rnacentral:rRNA from 1 species
UGGGGAAUUGUUCGCAAUGGGCGACAGCCUGACGCAGCGACGCCGCGUGGGGGAUGAAGGUCUUCGGAUUGUAAACCCCUUUCGGCAGGGAAGAUGGAACGGGUAACCGUUCGGACGGUACCUGCAGAAGCAGCCACGGCUAACUUCGUGCCAGCAGCCGCGGUAAUACGAAGGUGGCAAGCGUUGUUCGGAUUUACUGGGCGUACAGGGAGCGUAGGCGGUUGGGUAAGCCCUCCGUGAAAUCUCCGGGCCUAACCCGGAAAGUGCGGAGGGGACUGCUCGGCUAGAGGAUGGGAGAGGAGCGCGGAAUUCCCGGUGUAGCGGUGAAAUGCGUAGAGAUCGGGAGGAAGGCCGGUGGCGAAGGCGGCGCUCUGGAACAUUUCUGACGCUGAGGCUCGAAAGCGUGGGGAGCAAACAGGAUUAGAUACCCCGGUAGUCCCUGAGCGGGC